rnacentral:rRNA from 1 species
GGAGUAGCAAUGAUUAGUAGCAGACGUGUGAGUAAGAUGGGGGUAACUAUACUUUGGCCUGGAAUAACAAGAGGAAAGUUGUGGUAAUGCCGGAGAAGUCUUUACAGAGAAAGCUUUAUGGACCAUUGGAUGAGCCCGCACUUGAUUAGUUUGUUGGUAGGGUAAUGGCCUACCAAGACUAUGAUCAAUAGCUGAUUUGAGAGGAUGAUCAGCCACACUGGGACUGAGACACGGCCCAAACUCCUACGGGAGGCAGCAGUGGGGAAUCUUGCACAAUGGAGGAAACUCUGAUGCAGCGAUGCCGCGUGAGUGAAGAAGGCCUUUGGGUUGUAAAGCUCUUUCGUCGGGGAAGAAAAUGACUGUACCCGAAUAAGAAGGUCCGGCUAACUUCGUGCCAGCAGCCGCGGUAAUACGAAGGGACCUAGCGUAGUUCGGAAUUACUGGGCUUAAAGAGUUCGUAGGUGGUUGAAAAAGUUGGUGGUGAAAUCCCAGAGCUUAACUCUGGAACUGCCAUCAAAACUUUUCAGCUAGAGUAUGAUAGAGGAAAGCAGAAUUUCUAGUGUAGAGGUGAAAUUCGUAGAUAUUAGAAAGAAUACCAAUUGCGAAGGCAGCUUUCUGGAUCAUUACUGACACUGAGGAACGAAAGCAUGGGUAGCGAAGAGGAUUAGAUACCCUCGUAGUCCAUGCCGUAAACGAUGUGUGUUAGACGUUGGAAAUUUAUUUUCAGUGUCGCAGGGAAACCGAUAAACACACCGCCUGGGGAGUACGACCGCAAGGUUAAAACUCAAAUGAAUUGACGGGGACCCGCACAAGUAGUGGAGCAUGUGGUUUAAUUCGAAGAUACGCGCAGAACCUUACCAACACUUGACAUGUUCGUCGCGACUCUAAGAGAUUAGAGUUUUCGGUUCGGCCGGACGAAACACAGGUGCUGCAUGGCUGUCGUCAGCU